rnacentral:lncRNA from 1 species
UGGGGCUGUAGCCAAACUUUUAUUCAAUCAAAUUCAUCAUCUCCAAAUUACAAACCAAGAUAGGUUUAAAUAAUAAAAACCUAGAAAUAUAGGGUCAAGCCCAUUACUUAAGUCCUAACUAAAAUACGUAAACUUAAAUAAAAGUCCAAUUGAAACAAUAAUAAAAGUCCAACUAUAAUGAUGUCCUCAUCAACUCUCUCGGGGUGGGAGAAAAACUCGACCCUGUCGAGUGGAUAUAUCACUGUAGACUCUCUUCAAUCUCCCAACCAUAAGCUGAGUGGUUGGGCAAGUUUCUUUCGGCGUCUAUAGAAAUGCGUCAGUGGCGGUAAAACGUAGCUAAGCCGUGAAAGCUCCUGACAUCAUGAAUGGCCUUAGACUUAGGCCAGUUAAUUAUCGCCUGAAUCUUAGUAGGGUCAGUCGACACCCCUGUCGACGAGACAAUGAAUCCCAGAAAAACUACGCUAUCGGUGAAAAAGGAACAUUUCUUGACAUUAGCAUACAGGUUAGUCUCGCGAAGGGUAGAGCAAACUUGUUUGAGGUGGUCACGGUGUUGCUCCUUAGUUUUACUAUAGAUGAGGAUAUCAUCAAAGUAGACAACGAGAAAUUUACCCAUGAACGGCCGAAGAGUUUGUGUCAUUACCCGCAUGAAGGUACUCGGCGCAUUACUUAGCCCAAAAGGCAUGACCAGCCAUUCAUAAAGGCCAUCUUUCGUCUUAAACGCGGUCUUCCACUCAUCCCCUGGGCGAAUUCUAAUUUGAUGAUACCCACUCUUUAGAUCGAUCUUUGAAAAGAUUGUCGCGCCAACCAUCAUAUCCAGCAUGUCAUCAAGCCUGGGAAUGGGAAAACGAUACUUCACCGUGAUCCUAUUGAUAGCGCGACUAUCCACACACAUUCUCCACGAUUCAUCCUUUUUGGGCGUCAAUAGGGCGGGGACAGCACAUGGGCUUAAACUCUCACGAAUGAAUCCUUUGUUGAAAAGGUCAUCCACUUGCCUUUGGAGCUCAGCGUGCUCGGUAGGAUUCAUCCUAUAAUGUGGCAAAUUUGGAAGGGAUGCGCCGGGGACGAAAUCUAUGGCAUGUUGAAUAUCUCUUAGCGGAGGUAGAUGAUCAGGUAGGUCCUUCGGAAAGACAUCUCGAAACUCCUGAAGGAUUGAUUGGGUUUCUGCAGUAUCCUCACUUGUGGAGUUAGAUGAAACCUCCAUGACUACUAAGGCGAACACAAUUGAGUCACCAACAAUGGUACGCUCAAACUCUGUAGGACUAAUGAUAUGCAACCCCUUUUGUUCCACACUUUUCUUCGCUUCUAGUGAGCCAGCCGGUUUUGGGGGUAGUGGGUUAAGGUGAAUCUUCUUUCCAUUAACCACGAAGGAGCAGGAAUUGAAUCGACCAUAUAUGGUUACAUCUAGGUCAAAUAGCCAAGGUCGUCCUAAGAUGAUGUGCCCGACGUCCAUCGAAAUAACGUCACACCAUAUAUGGUUCUUAUACUCCAGGAAUUGGAUAGAGACUAAACAAAGCUCCUUAACAGCUAUAGAGGAGGUGUCAACCUAAGAGACACUAUAAGGUUGGGGGUGAGGAACUCGCUUCAACCCUAGACGGGAUAUAGUAGCCUUCGAAACCGCAUUAAUACAGCUGCCACUAUCCACGAUAACUUUACAGCCCUUGUUAUUAAUCUUGACGUAGGUGUGGAAGAUGGCAUGACGGCACCAAUCGUCGGCAUCCUUAGGCUGGGUGAGGGUGCAGCGGACGACACCGACUCUGGGUGUAUGUGGGAUAAUGGGACUAGCCUGAAUACAACCUAAGAAGGUAUCCUCAUUGUCCUCCAAGUCUUCAAACUUUUCUAACUUAGGCUCAUAAACCUGAUCCUCUAGUGGAUCGACGACUAUAUCCUCACGUUCGUCCAGAACUAGGGCUCGGCUAGGGCACUUAGAAGCAAUGUGACCAAAACCCUUACAAUUGAAGCAUUGCAAACGGGAGGAUGUCCUUGAAACCUCAGAACCACUACCUUUGCUAUCCGAUGCAGGUGUAGUAUUAGAGGGAGGAGGACCUAGAAUAGACUUAGGGGAUGGCGUGGAUGCAGAUGAGGUUGUAGUGCGGGAGUCGCUACGAUUUCUAUACGGUGUCCUAGUCACUAAUUCAUAAUCCUGAACGAAAGAGUAGGCGUGGUCGAGAGUGGUGACACCCCUAAGGACAAGCUCGCGCCUAAGUUCGUCUCUUAAGCCUUGCCUAAACCUACUCAAAGUCAUAACUUCAUCCUCAACAACCUGACAUUUCAUUCGAAACUCAUCAAACUGAGCAACAUAUUCGGUUACAGGUCGAUUGCCUUGUGUAAGUGCGUUCCAUUGAUCCAGCAAGUUACCCUUAUAAGAUUGGGGUAAAUAUUUUUCUUGAAGGCGACGCUUCAUUUCAUCCUAGCUCCCAAUAGGGGGAGCAUGACGCCUUUCAAGGAGGACGGUCCUCAACACUCUCCCAAAAGAGUUGAGCAGUGCCAAUUAACUUCAAACUGGCAAAUUGUACCCUCCGAUCUUCCGGGACCCCAUACCAUGCAAAGAAGCGAUCCAUAUCUCUAACCCAUUGAUUGAAUGCACUAGGAUCUAGACAACCGUCAAACGUAGGGGCAUCCAACUUAAUGUUUCGAAAGAGGCGCUCCUCGUGGCGAGGGGGAGAUUGUGUACCAUGACGGUAAUACCCCCGCUCUCGUUCCCGAGCCUGAUUCCCUUCCCUACAAUCAUGUCGGGCGUGGUGUCGACCACCUUGUGGGCGACGAUGAGGCCUAUUAAUGGAAGCCUCAGAGUUCUCAGCCUCGGUCGAAUCUGGGAUUGGGUCAAAAGUAUUCAACCUAGCGGUUAGGGCUCUAUUCUCUUCACGAGUAGCGACUACCUCAGUUUGGACAGCUGUUAGUUGAUUUUGUAAUUGUGCAAGCUGUCUGGUGAGGGCCUCAAUUUGGGCGGGGUCCAUGGUAAGGUUACUAGAGCUGGAGGCAGUAACGCGACCACUACGCAAUUGCAUACACGGUAACACGACUACGUAAAGUGCACUACUGAGAUCAAUAAUCAACAAUCAACUAGUGCCACUCGAAAAAUUAGUUAUUGAAAUUAUUAUUAUUAUUAUUAUUUUUUAUUUAUUUUGUCAAUUUAAAGGUUGGGGUUACUUAUGGCUCGAUCGCAAGCUAAUACUACUAAUGCUAAUAAAAUAGAAAAGCAAAUGUCCAAAUACUAGGUCUAGUCACGUGGGGUAAACGAUUGAGUAAUGAAAUUUAGUUCGUGAAAUAUAAUCGAAUAGGUUUAAGGCAGUAUUAUCAAAGGGCUAGUACAUAUCAAUGGAAUUUAGUUCGUGAAAUACAAUCAAAUAGGUUGAAGGCAAUAUUAUCCAAUGGCCAGCACACAACGAAUUAAUUGAUGCAAUUCUAAAAUAAAGAAAUAGCGUCAACUAAAAAUAAAUAGGAUCAGGAACUCCCUGAGUACUGUUGGUUUGAGUCGUCCCAACGUCGAAUGUCUCCAAGUUCUGAACUACUAAGCCCUGAGAUGCCAAGAUAGGAAAUUCCGUGGUACUGAACAGUCAACUAAAAUGAACAUGUAAAUGAUGUCAAAAAAUUUAAAAUUCACGAUACCUUUUUUUUUUUUUUUGCUCUUUCUUUUCUUUUUUUUUUUUUGACUCUUUUUUUUUUCUUUUUUUCUCUUUUCUUUUUUUUUUGUUUUUUUUAAUAAUAAUACAAAAUCAGAAUAACAAAAUAAUAAAUGAGCCCAUUUCACAAAUUUAAACCUUAAUUACAAUCAAAAUCUCAAUCAAGCCCAAGCCCAAGCAAUACAAAUAACCCAACCCACUUAAUUAUUAAACCAAUUAAUUAAUAACCCAAUUAACCCAACCCAAUAACUAAUAACCGAACCCCUUAAUUAAUAACCCAAGUAACCCCAUAAUUCAUUACAACACGUCGGUGGCUGAGGGCUGCAGAAAUCGGUGACUGGACUGGCCGGCGAGGAACGCCUCAACGGCAUUGGGCUUGGCCGGCGAUUAUUGGAAUUGCUGGCAGUUUACUGGCGGCUGUUGGCGACGGCGAGGCUGGGGUGCCGUUUCUGUAAGUCCGGGCAGACAAAGUUAAGGUAAAGUUCGUUUUGAUAACAUCGUGAAAGAGCCGGACUUUGGACUUCAACGGAGACAGCAAUCCGACGAGCAUAUCAGAUCACAGAUUCCAUAAUUUUGGAGAAAGCCAAAGAUUUGGGUAGAAGGGGUUCAACAGCUGUUACUGGGGAUUUGCAGUUGCCGUUGAUUUUGUGAAGUGCAGUGGACGGGUACAUAUGCAGAAGCGGUGGAGGCGUGAAACUGGAUUCUGCUGAAAAGAGAACUGGGUUCUGCAAGGUAGUAUGUUGUCUGUAGCAACGGGUUUUGGUAUUGAUGGUGCGUGAAUUGCUGUCCAGGGUUUGCUCUGAUACCAAUUUGAUGUAGUAUAAAUAACAAAGAAAGAAGAAGGGGAAGUAAGGAGAAGAGAAGAGAGGAACCGGGGAAGAACACAGAGAGGAGAAUGGGGCUGUAGCCAAACUUUUAUUCAAUCAAAUUCAUCAUCUCCAAAUUACAAACCAAGAUAGGUUUAAAUAAUAAAAACCUAGAAAUAUAGGGUCAAGCCCAUUACUUAAGUCCUAACUAAAAUACGUAAACUUAAAUAAAAGUCCAAUUGAAACAAUAAUAAAAGUCCAACUAAAAUACUGAAACAAUAAUAAAAAUCCAACUAUAAUGAUGUCCUCAUCAAUCUAACUCUCCAUAAAGGAAUGCAUUCAUCACGUCUAGUUGCCAUAAUUUCCAGCCUUCGAAAGCAACCAAUGAAAUAAUUGUUCGAACAGUCAAUAUUUUAGCAACAGGGCUGUAAGUUUCCUUGUAGUCUAAACCAUAUUGUUGGGAAAAAUCACGAGCAACAAGUCAGGCUUUAUACCUAUUAAUAGUACCAUUGACCUUUUUCUUCAACUUGUAAAUCCGUUUACAAGUAACCAAACUAGUGUUCUUAAGCUUUGGAGCAAGCUACCAAGUGUUGUUCUUGUGUAAAGCUGAUAUUUCCUCCUACAUUGCCUCUUCCCAUUCAGAAAUCCCUUUAGCUUCAUUGUAGGAUUUAGGCUCAUUCCCACCUGAAUCUCCCAUGAAAAAGCAAGAUAAAACAGAAAAAUAAUUUAACUGAACUUCAUAAUCAGCUAGAUGAUCAGGUUGCUUUCUUUGCCUAGAAGACCUUCGAAUUAUAGUUUCAAUAGCCUCGUCUUGUUGAAUGUUUUCUCCAGAUGGAAUAGUAUUGCUCCCCCUUUCACUUGAUGCAACAUCACUAAAGAAAGGCCCAAGAUCAACCGUGCUACUAUCCUUGUUAUCAACUUGAUGCAAUGCCACUUUAUCAAACACUACAUCACCGGAAACAAUAACAUUCAUUGUUUCUGGAUCCAUACAUCUCCAUCCUUUCCUAUGAGUAUCAUAACCAACAAAAAUACAACACCUUGCCCUUGGAUCAAGUUUAGUCUGAUUAUUUUUCAGUAUAUGGACAUAACAAAUGGAACCAAAAACUCGAAAAUAACUCACAUUCGGUGUGUGGUGGAAUAAUGCUUCAAAAGGUGAUUAUUCUAUCCCUGGCCAAGGAGGUAUGCGAUUUAUGACAUGACAGGUAGAUUGAAUAGCUGCUGCCCAUAACUCUCUUGCAAGAUUCUUUUCAUGCAACCACGACAAGCAUAUAGCCGUUAGAUGUACCAACUUGUGUUCAACAACCCCAUUUUGUUGUGGAGUUUCUGGAAACGUUAUCUUACAUCGAAUUCCAUGCUUCCUGCAGUAUUCAAGGAAUUCAUUGGAUAUAUAUUCCCCUCCAUUAUCGGUGUGUAAACACUUUAUUGGUAGCCCAAAUUCCUUCUCCAUCUACUCUUUGAAUUGAAUAAAAUUGGAGAGAGCUUCACUUUUGUUUUCCAAGAAAUAUACCCAAGUGAAACGAGAAAAGUCAUCCACAAUAACCAUCACAUAAUGAAAACCAAUAAAACAAGGUAUUUUUAUUGGUCCCAUAAGAUCUGAAUGAACUAGCCGUAGUGCUGUAGAUGCUCUAUUCUUUGAAUUUGGGAAACGAAGCCAAUGUGAUUUUCCAUAUUGUCAACCAGCACACACCACAUCAAGAUGAAAAUCUUUAAAUAGAGGAACUCCAUCCAGAAGUUUCUUUGUGGAAAUUUUCUGUAGUAACUGAUUACCAACAUGGCCUAACCGAGCAUGCCAAAGUGCCACACUUGCAUUUUGGCCUCUCUUUUCAACAUAAGCAUCACUUGUAGACAAAACAUAUAGUGAUUCUCUCCUUUUUCUAGUAAGUAAAACAUCAGCAACAAUAUGUUUUACAUUUGAAAGAAUAUGUACAUUAUUUGGACCAAAAAGUACAUACCUCCCAGAAUCAACUAAUUGAGAGACUGAGGCGAGAUUCUUCUUUAAACCUAGAACAUGAUAUACAUUUUUGAGAAAAAUACCAUCAGCAUUUGAUGUAUCAGUUCUAAAAUUAAGAAGCCCUUCUUUAACUACAGGAUGCAGCAAAUUAUCGGCUAUUAUAAUAACUCUUUUUUCACAAUGCAGAUGAACAUCAAAAAGUAACGAAACAUUUCCAGUUGCAUGAUGAGAGCUUCCAAAAUCAAUUAUCCAAUCCUUGUUGUAGUCUAUGGAAACAUUAGCAUCAAUAUCUAUAUCAGUCUGAUGCACUUCAAAAGUCAUGUUAGUCAGUUGAUCAAUAGCUUCAAUGGAUAAGCAUUGCUCUCAUUUGUGCUGUUCAGAUUUACUAGCUUCAUGUACAACAUUCGAUCAUUCUUUUGUGAGAUCAACACUACAAUUUUGUUUAAUAUGGCCUGAUUUUCCACAUCGACUACACACUACAUUCACUCGACAAUCGUGCUUUAUGUGUCCCAGCUUUCCACAUCUAUAACAAGUUUUUGAAUUUCCCUUGGAUUGUCCCCUUGUUCUGGAUUGCUUGCCAUCACCAGAAUACUGCUUAGAGAAAAAAAUCUUUUUUUCUUGGUCCUUGGUGUAAAGAACGUUCUCAACUUGAGAGAGAGACUUGUUGCUAUAGUUGGAUAUUUGUUUCAGCAGUGCUUCUUGAUUUGAGAGCAAGUUCUCCAACUCAAUGAUAGUAGGUUGAUUUGCCCACCCUUGUAUCGAAGAGAUAAAGGGCAUAAAUUCUUUUCGCAAUCCACGAAUGAGAUAACGGCGCAAACGAGCAUCACUCACAAGUUCCUCUGCAUCUAAUUCUGAUAUAUCAGAACACAAGGUUUGAAGUUUCAAAAAAUAAUAUGAAACUGAAAGGUUACCUUGAGGCAUCCCUGCAAGUUCAUUCUCUAAAUAUUGCAGCCUCGUCGUGUUCUUUUGAGUGAACAGCCUUUCAAGUGUUUCCCACACUUUCUUUGGUGACUCCUCAUCACGAACAUGCUCGAUGUACUCUUUACUGAUCGAUGUUCACAAAGCAAAUAAAGCUUUGCCACACUUUAUCUUCCAUUUCCUCCUUAACUCAACAUUUUGUGGCAUAUCUUCUGAAAUCACAUCAUCACUAGAAAUAAGUUCUCACAAAUCCCGUCCUUGUAGAUAAGCUUCCAUGCAUAGCUUCUAGUAAUUAUAAUUGUUUAACAAGUUUGUCUACAGAGAUACUAGUUCCACCAUUCAUAUUCUCUGAGUAAUAAAAUCAAACACUUGAUAGGCAACCAAGCUCUGAUACCAUGUAACAAAUUAUGGCAGAAUAAAAAGAUUAAAGAAGUAGGAAAAACAUUAGAGAAAUAGAGGAGAUGAAAAGAACAGAUUUUAUUCUUCAAUCUGCAUUCUAUUUCUCGAUGAGAACUAGAACCAGAAAAAUGAGAAAUUGAAGUGCUACAAUGAUGAAUCAGCAGCUUACAAGAGGAAUUUAUACUAAGAAAUUCUCCUAAAGUUUCUCAACUAAUCAAACUGAAAAAACCCAACGUGUUCCUAAACUUAUUAACCUAACAAAAGACCAAUUCCGCUAAUUGACUCCUAACUUAUUCAUUUUUUUUUUUUUUUUUACUCAUUCAACAUUACAUACGGUUGCAAUAAGUUGCACUAAAUUGUAACAUGGGGUGCGUAGGGAAGAAGAUGAACAGUUCAACUUUUUUUAGAUUAUUUAUUUAUUUAUUUAUUUAUUUCUUGGUUUGAUUGACAAUCAAAUAGACGAAUUCCGUCAUAUGUCCUCCCACUGCAAUUGAUGUAAAAGAUUUUGGACCCUAGUUGCAAAAAAUGAAAGAU